AGCGUACACAAAUUAAUGAUGCUGAGGAGACACGCAUCAUCUAUAUGACCCUCUUGUGUUUUCACUUGUAGUUUAAAAAAAUAUAUUUCUCUGCAAAAGCAACCUUGCGGAUGUAACAAUGUCGAUGUCAACAUUUCAAAACGUUACGCUCGUAUCUUGCCGGGUGUUCUGCGUUCUUCUGGUUUCUGAAAAUGCUUCUAGGCGGAGGGAAGAAGGGUGCACAGACCGAGGAUAACAUCAAAGGUGAAGAGCGCCGUACCUGUCGAGCCCAGAUUUCCCUCGGUGAGAGGAGAGAACCGAAAUAAAAAGAUCACUGAUUGUGAGCUGACUCAGCUGCAGGAUAAGCUGAGGGAGACAGAGAUGGUAAUGGAGAGGAUUGUCUAAAGCCAGCUGCAGCUCUAAAAGGGUGACAGGGGGGAGUGCCGACCAAGAGGAGAGACUGCUUUUCCAGCUGAGAGAGAUCACACGGGUGAUGCAGGAGGGCCGCCAGGCGGAGGGGGUCACCCCACCAGAGAUAUUGGCACUUUUUAUUGCUUAUAUGGCAUCAUUAAAGACUUGUCUGAAUAUGUCAUCCACACUCAACAAUAUGGGAACUCACUCUACAUACUUAGAUGAAGUUGUGUGGAAAAAGGAAUGGGGUGGUGAAAUAAUUUUCUGUCAUGGACAAAGGAUCUCAAAGGGUGUGAUGAUAUUAAUUAACAAACAUUUUGAUCUGAAUGUG